GUCAGACUACUACUGGUGCUAGAUCUACUUGAAAAGUACUUCUAUCAGGUCAGGCUACUACAUGUGCUAGGUCUAUUUGAGAAGUACUUCUAUCAGGUCAGACUUCUAUUGGUGCUAGGUCUACUUUGAGAAGUACUUCUACUAGUGCAAGGUCUACUUGAGAAGUACUUCUAUCAGGUCAGAUUUCUACUGGUGUUAGGUCUACUUGAGGAGUACUUCUAUCAGGUCAGACUACUACUGGUGCAAGGUCUACUUGAGAAGUACUUCUAUCAGGUCAGACUACUACUGGUGCUAGGUCUACUUGAGAAGUACUUCUAUCAGGUCAGACUACUACUGGUGUUAGG